rnacentral:lncRNA from 1 species
GGGAAAAAAGAUGGAGACUGGAUAGUUCUCAGUUAUGGAACAGACCAACAAAGAGAAUAUUGUCCUUGUUUGAGUAAGUUUACCCAGAAUACUUUGCUUUCACUGUGCAUGUAUAUUAUGUUUAACAGCACAAUGGAAAAUCAGUUGCAGAAGCAUUGCUGGAUUUAUAUUCUUGGAAUAUAAUAGUCCCUUGGGAUUUGUUGUCAUUGGCCUCUACGCAUAUCCCACAAAAGCAACAACUGAAGAUGACUUGAUUAUGUCUUAUUAGCUACAUAUAAAAGUCAAUGAAGCAGCUUAGAAAUACAAAUAAGAGGCACUUAUAUUUUAUUUACUGCAAAAAGUUAUCUGCAGCUCAUUUACCAACUCCAUGUCUCUUUCACAGACAAAUCUAUCCCCAGCACUGCUACUGAGAAAAAUCUGUGGGAAAGAUAUAAGAACAAAUGUCUCAUUUUCUUUUAAGAGGUAGCCCUGUUUCAAUUAUCAUAUUCAGAGCACUUGCAUAAGGUGCUUUGAAGUAGGCCGAUGGUGUAAAACAAAUAAGCCACCUCACUGAAAUAAUAAAACAUUACUUUCAAGUCAGUGACUCCAAACUAGCUACAAACUAACUGACUAAAUUCCACAAAAAUCAAUAGGAUGUGCUCUUUCUUUCUGAAAAAUAUAGUUGGCAUCUGUAUCGGAUUUGAAAUGAUAUCAUGGUGAUUUAUAAAUGAAAAAUAUCAACUUACAAUUAGCACUUCUGUGAGUCACCUGUUCCAUUCGUUACAAUGGCACACAGUUCAUGUCUACUCAGAGGUAAGUCCCUUUGAUACCUGGGGGUUAAGCCUAUUGAUCUCCAUGGGACUUCUGAGUAGACACGCAAGUAUUGCAGUGCAUAUCACAAAUUGCUACAUCAGCAAGCACAAAACAAGCCCUCUGAAGUGCCACAAAUCCAACAAAUGGAAAAUGUUGAUGACUUCUCCUACCUGGGCAGCUAUCUUUCCACAAGGGACGACAUUGAUGCCAAAAUCCAGCAUCGCCUGAGCUCUGUGAGUGCAGCUUUCUCCAGAAUGAAGUGCAGAGCGUUUGAGGACCGGGACACUUGCAGGGAAACCAGAAUGCUUGUUUACAAAGCUAUUGUACUACCAACCUUACUGUAUGCUUCUGAAAAAUGGACCACUUAUAAACGCCAUCUCCAACUCCUCAAAAGAUUCCAUCAACGGUGUCUCCCAAAAAAAUUUACACAUCACUUGGGAAGACAGGAGAACUAAUGCCAAUUCACCUGUCUUCCCAGUUGAUGUGUAAUUAUUAUUAUUAUGUUUUGCAUAUUGCAAGGCUCCUGGCUGCAGAUUCUUGGGAAAUGUUCUAUGAGUGAACAAGGAAUACCUAAGAGAGGAUUCUCAGAACCUUUGCGAAAAUGUGGAUGGUUCUCAGAAACCAUCGGGGAAAGUGAGAGAGAAAAGGAUCUCCCUGAAGCUAAACGGUGUUCUGGAAGCCUGAGGGCCAGGGAGCAGACUUCUUCUGGGACAAGGCCUCUCUUCUUAGAGAGUGAGGCCUGGUAUUUUGGGAUCAGUGGCCAACAAACAAAGCCAAUGUUCUCAAACAGGGCCACUCUUGGUGCCAGGUGGACCUCUUUGGGGAGAGAGCAUUCCGCAGCUGAGGCCACCACUAAAAGGGCCUGUUCUUUCUGUUGCUGCUUGUAUCCAUGGAUGAUUUCUUGGAUGGUUUAGCUAAUAUAUAUCUAAAGAUUUGUUGUGUUUCAGUGAUUUUAAUCAUGAACUGCCUUGAGAAGGUAUUUGGCCAUGGAAGGCAAUACAGUGGUACCUCGGGUUAAGAACUUAAUUCGUUCCAGAGGUCUGUUCUUAAGCUGAAACUGUUCUUAACCUGAGGUACCACUUUAGCUAAUGGGGCCUCCUGCUGCUGCUGCGCCACCACUGCACCAUUUCUGUUCUCAUCCUGAAGCAAAGUUCUUAACCUGAGGUACUAUUUCUGGGUUAGCGGAGUCUGUAAGCUGAAGCGUCUGUAACCUGAAGCGUCUGUAACCCGAGGUACCACUGUACAUAAAUGCCUAAAUAAAUAAAGCAUUUCUUUUCAUUAUAACUGCAUGUUAUGAUUCCCAAUUGGGUGAAAUCAGCCACAUUUCACCCAAUUGGGUACUGUAGGAAGAAGGAAAAAUAAGCAAUUCUAUAGAACAAUUAGGAAACAAUGGCACUAAGGUGAACUGAAAAAUAGGUGAAUAGUGAUACUAUCUACAUGUUUCACACUCAAAAUCAACAGUGGUAGAAAUGUGACAGUACCUUGACUUUUUAUCCUUUCAAAGUCUCAACGAGGAUUAAAGCCAAAGAAUAAAUCUACCUCAGCCUUGGUGCUCAUAAUGUCAAGGUUGCAGAUUCGAUCCCUGUAUGGGACAGCUGCAUAUUUGGGUUGGACUAGAUCAGGCUUCCUCAAACUUGGCUCUCCAGAUGUUUUGAGACUACAAUUCCCAUCAUCCCUGACCACCGGUCCUGUUAGCCAGGGAUCAUGGGAGUUGUAGGCCAAAAACAUCUGGAGGGCCGAGUUUGAGGAAGCCUGGACUAGAUGAUCCUCAGGGUCCCUUCCAACUCCAUGAAUCUGUGAACUGUUUGGUGAACAUCUGCUUAAUCCAGGGGUAGGCAACCUAAAAAGGGAUGUGGGUGGUGCUGUGGGUUAAACCACAGAGCCUAGGGCUUGCCGAUCAGAAGGUCGGCGGUUCGAAUCCCCGCGACGGGGUGAGCUCCCGUUGCUCGGUUCCUGCUCCUGCCAACCUAGCAGUUCGAAAGCAUGUCAAAGUGCAAGUAGAAAAAUAGGUACCGCUCUGGCGGGAAGGUGAACGGCAUUUCCGUGCGCUGCUCUGGUUCACCAGAAGUGGCUUAGUCAUGCUGGCCGCAUGACCCGGAAGCUGUACACCGGCUCCCUCGGCCAGUAAAGCGAGAUGAACGCCACAACCCCAGAGUCGUCCGCGACUGGACCUGACAGUCAGGGGUCCCUUUAACUUUACCUUUAGGCAACUUAAGGCCCAUGGGCUGGAUGCGGCCCAAUCAUCUUCUCAAUCAGAUGAACAAGGAAGGUAUUUGGCAAUUGAAGUGCAAAUUCAAGGUGAAAAAUUUUUGAUACUAGGGAUUUACGCACCUAAUGAAGGGAAGUCAGAAUUUUUUAAGAAGUUGCAUGAGACAUUGUUGGACUAUUUGGAUUACAAAUUAAUCAUGAUGGGAGACAUGAAUGGAGUGGUAUCUACAAAUAUGGACAAAGCACAAAGACAGGUAAUCACCAGAGAUGGGAGACUACCAAAGACUUUCUUUGAAAUAACUGAAAAUAUGGAUUUGAUUGAUAUUUGGAGAACAAGGAAUCCUCUCGAGAGAGAGGGAACCUUUUCUCUGAAGCAAUGAUGACCUGGACCAGAAUCGAUCAAAUUUGGAUUACUAGUGGGUUGGCUCCAAAGAUUAAAAAAGUGGAAAUCUGCCCAAAGACCUGCUCCGACCAUAACGCCGUGAAGAUGGAAAUGAAACUUACAACAACUGGUCAAUUCAGAUGGAGGAUGAAUGACACCCUGUUUCGAGAUGAGGAGAUCCACAGAAAGGCCCAAAAAAUUUUAAAGGACUAUUUUGAAAUAAAUCUAAAAACUGAUGUAGAAAAAAGAGUGAUCUGGGACGCAAGUAAAGCAGGGAUGCGAGGAUUUCUAAUUCAACAAAAUUCUGUAAAAAAGAGAAAGCAAAAUGAGAAGAAGGACAAGAUCUUGGAAAAGAUAAAAGAAGGAGAGAAGAAAUUGAGAUCAAAACCAAAGUCCCAGGAGAUUUUGAGAGAGAUUAAGUUAUAUCAGACACAAUACAUGGAAUUGAUGAAUCAAGAGAUUGAAUGGAAGAUAAAACAAAUGAGACAAAAGACAUUUGAAUCUGCAGAUAAAUGUGGUAAACUUCUGGCUUGGCAAUUGAAGAAAAGGCAGAAACUAAACACAGUUACAAGCCUAGAAGUGGAUGGAAAGAAUAUAUCUAAACCUAACGAGAUAAGAAAUUGUUUUUGAGUUAUUUUAAAAAUUAUAUUCACAAGGACCACAGAAGGAGGAGGAUAUAGAAGAAUUUCUUAAAAAGUAUGGACUACAAAAAUCUCUCACCAAAGUAAGGUGGAUCUAAAUCAGAGAAUAACAGAUCAAGAGAUAGAGGGUGCCAUUCAAAACAUGCAACUGGGCAAAUCUCCAGGACCAGAUGGAUUGACUUCCAGAUAUUAUAAGGCUUUGAAGGAAUGGUUGGUACAACCAUUAAAGGAAGUCUGUAAUGAGAUCUUAGAGGGGAAAAGGGCACCAGAAUCGUGGAAAGAAGCGUACAUUACACUCAUACCAAAGACAGAGAUUGAAAAGAAUCAACUUAAGAACUACCGCCCAAUAUCAUUACUUAAUGUGGAUUACAAAAUUUUUGCAGACAUUUUGGCAAAAGAUUGAAAAGAGUGUUGAUGGAGAAGAUUCAUAUGGACCAAGCAGGCUUUCUCCUAAAAGGCAUUUAUCAGACAAUGUGAGGAACAUAAUAGACAUUUUGGAAUUAUUAGAGGUGAAUAUAAACACUAAAGCAGUUCUGAUCUUUGUAGAUGCGGAGAAAGCCUUUGACAAUAUUUCUUGGAGUUUUAUGAAAAAGAAUCUUCAUGGGAUGGGGGUAGGCCAAGGAUUCGAGAAUGGUAUGGGUGCCAUAUACACUGAACAAAAAGCUAAAUUGAUUGUAAAUAAUGUGAUAACUGAAGAAUUUAAAAUAGAAAAAGGGACACGACAGGGGUGCCCUAUCUCCCCAUUACUUUUUAUUUCUGUUCUGGAGGUGUUGCUAAAUAUGAUUAGAGAUGACCAGCAGGUUAAAGGUGUACAGGUCGGAGCUAAACAUUACAAGUUAAGGGCCUUUGCAGAUGAUUUAGUACUUACUUUACAAGAGCCAGACACUAGUACAAAAAGGGUGUUGGAGCUAAUCCAAGAAUUUGGCCAGGUAGCUGGAUUUAAAUUGAAUAAACAAAAGACUAAAGUCUUGGAAAAAAAUUAACAGUCAUGGAAAGGGAGAAGUUUCAGAAUGAAACAGGUUUGACAGUGGUAAAGAAGGUGAAAUAUCUAGGGGUUUAUUUGACAUCUAAAAAUUUGAACCUGUAUAAAGACAAUUAUGAAAAAUGUUGGUUGGAAAUUAAAAAAGAUCUAGAAAUAUGGUCAAAUUUGAAAUUGUCAAUGUUAGGCCGUAUUGCAGUUAUUAAGAUGAAUGUAUUGCCCAGAAUGUUAUUCUUGUUCCAAACAUUACAAAUUCUAGACAAGAUAGACUGUUUUAAGAGGUGGCAGAAGGAUAUUUCGAAAUUUGUCUGGCAGGGCAAAAACCCAGAAUAAAAUUUAAAAUACUGACGGAUGCAAAAGAAAGAGGGGGUUUGCCCUGCCGGACUUAAAACUGUAUUAUGAAGCAGCAACUUUUUGCUGGCUGAAAGAAUGGAUGCUCCUCGAGAAUACAGACAUCUUGGACUUAGAAGGUUUUAACAAUACAUUUGGUUGGCAUGCAUAUUUAUGGUAUGAUAAAAUCAAGGUGCAUAGGGCCUUUAAAAAUCAUAUUGUCAGGAAAGCAUUAUAUAACGUUUGGAUAAGAUAUAAAGAUUUGGUGGAAAGUAAGACUCCUAGAUGGUUGUCACCUUUGGAAGCCACGGCGUUGAAAAAGCUUAAUAUGGAAGCCGAAUGGCUAAAGUAUCGGGAAAUUUUGGAACAAGAUGGAGAUAAGUUGAAGCUACAGAGCUAUGAGAAAUUGAAACCCAAAGUACGAGAUUGGCUCCAUUAUUAUCAAAUAAUGGAGGUGUAUAAACAAGACAGGAAAAUUGGCUUCCAGGUGGAGAAAUCAAAAUUAGAAACUGAACUGUUAGAACCCAAUACUAAGAACUUGUCAAGAAUGUAUAAUUUGCUGCUGAAAUGGAAUACACAAGAUGAAACAGUUAAAUCAGCUAUGAUUAAGUGGGCACAGGACAUUGGUCAUAACAUUAUGUUUGCUGACUGGGAAUGGUUGUGGAACACCGGUAUAAAAUUUACGGCAUGUAAUGCCAUAAAGGAAAAUAUUAUGAAAAUGAUCUAUAGGUGGUACAUGACUCCAGUCAAGCUAGCAAAAAUUUAUCAUUUGCCUGAUAAUAAGUGUUGGAAGUGUAAAGAAACUGAAGGUACUUUUUAUCACCUUUGGUGGACGUGCCCAAAGAUUAAGGCUUUCUGGGAAAUGAUAUAUAAUGAAUUAAAAAGGUACUUAAAUGUACUUUCCUGAAGAAACCAGAGGCCUUUCUCUUGGGCAUUGCCGGCCAAUUGGUAUCAAAGAAAGACAGAACUUUUUAUGUAUGCUACGACAGCAGCAAGAAUACUCAUCGCAAAGUAUUGGAAGACAGAAGAACUACCCACCUUGGAAGAGUGGCAGAUGAAGGUUAUAGACUAUAUGACAUUGGCGGAGAUGACUGGCAGAAUCCGUGAGCAGGGGAAAGAGACGGUGGAAGAAGAUUGGAAGAAAUUUAAAAUCUAUUUAAAGAACUAUCAUAAAAUUGAGGAAUGUUAAAAUGUCGAGGUUUGGAGAAAGAAAAGGAGAUUACAGCGACAUAAGAUUAAGUUGAAGAAAAAAAAAUAAGAAAAAUAUAUUUGAUAAAAUUAUUUAGAAUUUGCUGAAAUAAUUUUGGGAAUUGGGAUGUAGGAAGGGGAGGUUUGGGGGAGUCCGAGAAGAGAGGGUUAUGAAAAAAAAGGCUAUGAAACUAUACAUGUUUGUAUGUCUUUUUAUUUGUUUGUAUUGUAUAAAACUUGUUUGUAAAAUCAAUAAAAAAAAUUAUAUAAAAAAAAAUCAUCUUCUCAAUCAGGCCCGUGGAUGGUCUGGGAAUCAGCGUGUUUUUACAUGAGUAGAAUGUGUCCUUUUAUUUAAAAUACAUCUCUGGGUUAUUUGUGGGGCAUAGGAAUUCGUUCACCCCCCCCAAAAUAUAGUCUGGCCCACCACAUGGUCUGAGGGAUGGUGGACCAGCCCACGGCUGAAAAAGGUUGCUGACCCCUGGCUUAAUCCAUUUUAAUCAGAUACUUGAAUUCUGGUUUGGGUGCAUCUCAAAUGUAGGUCGUGGAUCCUCACAGAUGUCAGAUGCUCUCUGAAAUCCAGCUAAUACCGCGAAUGUCAAAAAGACUUUUGUCAUAAAUUAAUUGAAUAUCUCUCAAUCUCAUGUGACUCAAAUAGCUGAAAGCACUCCCAGCUUGUUGAAGGGUGUCCGUGCCUGCAGUGUUCACAAAAGAAGUAUUAAUGCAACUCUUGCUUUUGGUUAUUUUCUCAGAUUGUGUAAGACUUGAGUCAUUGUUGAUGCUGCCUCUAAACUUCAGCUGUGGUCAUUUCACAUUACCAGGGUUGCAGGCAGAAAGACGAGGGCAUUGACAAAAUCCUGAGAAUUCCAGCUCUUGGUUUGUUUUUUUAAAUUCCAGCCAAGAUGUUUUACAUGGACAGCAACUGGUGAGCAUCUAGGAUUGCCAACUUUUCUGAACUGAGCGGGACUUACCAUAUUUUAAUGCCCAUUUCAUCCCCAGGAAGGCUUGCUAAUAUCAAAGAGUUCAGGAGUCUGGAGGAGUGGGUGGCUGUUUCAUUUUCAAAACAAGAUUGAGGAACAUGUAAUCUCUAAGAAUGUCCAUGGCAUAAGAUUGCAACAUUUACUACAGCUUCAGUCAUGUGUGUAGGACCAAACCAAAUUACAAUUCCCAGGGGGCAAUGAGAUAAUGUCCAUGUGGCAGCUCCAUCAGCACUGAAGCACCAACUUUAUGUACCAGGGAGAAACAGAUGAGCUUUUUCUGAAGUGUCUCUGAGAAAGCUCAGAAAUACCUAGCCAAUUCUGAAUCAAACUGAAGGAAUAUCAUCCAUAACUGGUUCCAAUAAUCACAGG